UUUUUUUUUUUUUUUUUUCCUUAUUUUGGGUGGCAUGGUUGAUGCCAUGUUCAAUAAAAGAGAGACCCUAUUAGGGUGGCAUAGCUCUUUCAUGGGUAAAAAAUGGAAGAAGGUUUAAAGGAUUAUCCUACCCCACGUUUUUUGGACUUUUUUUCUUUUUUUGAUAAGUAAACAUGGAAUAUAUUAACACAAGGCAAAAAAGCCACAUAGCAUACAGGGAGUAUACAAAGCGGCAAAGGCCUCACAACCAAAAAGAGACAAAAAACACACCAACCCUUAAAUGGAGGCUAACCACUCCAAAAAGCCUAUAAGGGAGCGCGGCUCCACUCCACUAUACAAUUUUGCCCAGCCCCACACAUUACAAACAAAAAAAAUUUUAAGUUUCUGAAUAGCUAACUACCCCCCCCCCCCCCCCUAAAAGCUAGUCUAUUCCUCUCCUUCCAAACCGUCCAAAAAAUUGGACAUUAUGGAAGAAGAGGAACUAAAAAUCUUUCGAAAGAAAAGAAAUGUCUAAUCAUGCCCUAAAUUAUCAUUUCUUUGCACUGUUUUGUUAUGGGUUGGGAUGUACAUUGAUGGAGGCUCCUUAACCAUGUUUGAUUUUAUAAAGUGGUUAAGGUCUUCAUGAAGGGAAGGUUCCUUUUCAUUGCCCUUUCUUUUGUGUUGCUUUCUUUGCUUGUACUCUAGUGCUCUUCAAUCAGCACAUUCAAUAUAUUUAUUUUACUUUAAAAAAAAGAAAGAAAGAAAGAAAGAUUUUAAGGUGCAACUUCUAGACCACCUAAAAGCUCUUCAUACCUAUCAAAGCAUUUUAUAGUGCAUUUACUUGCAUACUAGGUGUUGCUCAGAUCAACUCUUCGGAAGCCAAAACGAGUGUUUUUUAAGCCUGUAAGAGUUGUUUUUUGCAUUUGGAUGAUUUUAAUAAAACUUACCCCAAAAAGGUAAAACAGAAACAAAGACAAGGUUUCUUCUUCUAAAAGCACUAUUUUAGCUUGUAAGGAAAGUUGUUUCAUAUUUAAUAAACUUUCAUCAUAUCCAGAUUGUCUCUUUGAAAUCACGACUUCAUCUUUAGCUUCUAGCUUAAAGCACAAACAAAACUAUGUCAAACAACACCUAAAGCAUCACUUUCCUUUAAAGUUUGGGUUGGUGCCUUUGUAUAAGAUGUUUUAUAUAAGAGGUUUUAGAAUUUAAAUUUGUUUUACUAUUAAACAAGGAAGCUCUUCUUCCCAUAGGAUCAAGGGACAAGAGCACUAAUAAUCAAUUCAACGGAAAUGGAGAAAAAAGAAAAAUUAACCUUUAUGUCCCUUUCCUUUCCCACCCUUGUACUAAAGAGAAAUUACAUGUGUUCAUAUUGAAGAAGGUUUACCAAAGCAAUCAAUUGGUACUUGAUGUUAAAUGCAAUAAAAAAUAAAUAGCAAAACUAAUCUCCAACUCCAAGUCAUCAACCCCCCUUUUAAAAUAAUAGUUUUGGUGGAGAAAUUCAAGCCCAAAAUUUUUCAAUAAAAUUCAAGAAACACUAACAAAAGAUUAAAGCUUUUAAAAAUCUGGUUGUUAAAUUUUAAAUAAAUUAAAGUACGUAGGACACACAACACGUACACAUAUAUGACAACAAAAAAUUUCAAAGCUUAAAAGAAAAAAAAAAUUACAAAGGAAGUUUUGAAGAUUGGGUGAAAAUCUUGAGAAUUGCAUAGAAUAAGACAUUAUUUGGAUGCAGUUCCACCCUUUUUUUUCAAAGCCCAAAACAUUAAUAGUAAACAAUAUUUUCCUAUUUACAUAAUGUUUUGUUUGGUUUCCAAAAAGUUUGAAAAAAAUGAAAUAAAAUAGAGAGGAAAAGUAUAAGACAAUAAAAUAUUUGUAAAACUAAUAAAAAUUUUCUCUUGUUUUGGUUGUCCAAUGAAAAGUUGAGGGAAAGAAAAUUAAAUCCUCAAAUAAUGCACUUUCCCCACCUUUUCUUGAAGAAAAUAAGGAGAAAACUCUUUUAAAAUUUUCUCUCAUUUUUUUCUUAGUAUUUUUUUUCCUUACCCUUUCCUUUUAUAUAGCAUCCAAACAUUAUGUUCUUAGCAUUUUUUUUUUCCUUCAUAUUUUCCACACUUUUUCCUUUUCUAUAGCAUCCAAACAUUAUGUUCUUAGCAUUUUUUUUCCCUUGAUACUUUCCAAUGUAAUUUACAAAAGUCUCUCAAAAGAUAAUUAAUUUGAAUUAAAGUUGGGGCAAUUAUUGAAGGGAACAUGAGAAUGACAGAAAGGAAAAGAACUGAUUCGUUGCUUUCUAUAUGGUAUUGACUUAUUGACCUAGAUCCAAAGUAGUGACCUAGAUCCAAAGCACUGGGAUAAUAUGCUAUCUCUUCUUAGGGUAAAAUGGUGGGUGGAGGUGGGGC
rnacentral:lncRNA from 1 species